UGUAGCUCACAGCCUCCUGAAACCCCAAGUCUAGGGAUCCCAUGCCCACACACACACACACACACACACACACACCCCACUUUAAAAAUGAGAAGCUGUCAGCUUUACUUUGUUUCUAAAGAUGGUUAGCCAGUGGUUAAUACGUAGGGAACAGCUUUCUCUACUGUCACAAACUCUAGGCAACUUACAUGAAGUAUGACUUCCAAUCGGGAAUCAGACACGCUACCUCUGCACCACGCAAUUGUAAAAUGUGCGCUGGCUCACAGUUCCUGGGGUUCUGUUCAUCCCUGGGGGAAGGCAGAGGGGAUGGAGAAAGAGUGUAUGAUGCAGGGCUGCUCACUUGGUGGCUGGGUCAGGAAACAGAGAGAACCAGAUCAGACCCAGUCCCCAGCUGUGCCCAGCCCACCUCAAGGGACCCAGGUUGCCCAGCCAAGUUCUAGCUCUUAAAAGCUACCCGACAUCCCCAAAUAGCGCCACCAGUUGGAGACCACAUGCUCAAACACAUGGGCGUGCGGGAAGGAGGCAUUUUGCAUUCAAACCAAAAUAGGAGUCAAAGUUUUCCAAAAUGAGAUUCAAAUGAGACUUUUUAAAAAAAAAAAAGAAUUAAAAAAAGCCUAAUAUAUGCACAUAUUGAAAUAUUACUCCUGAUCUUAUAAAUCUGUAAGAUUAUUAUGAACCGAUUAAAAACAAAUACAUUUACGUAAGUAAUUCCACCAUAUUUAAAGGAAAAACCCCCGACUCCUGUUGCAGUGCUUUCAGUGCUGCCUUUCAGGUCAUGUGACUCACAGGGACAGCAUACGAGCUGACUGACAAAUGAAAUAACUCAGCAAGCACAAGGUGUGGGUCGAUCUAUAAGACACAGUCUUAGGGGGUGGGCCACGCGAACUCCCAAUGGGAGAAGUUGUAGGGAAAGCCCACAUUUACAUGCGAAGAAGGAAUCUAGGAUACAAAUAAAAUGACCAGGAAACCAUUGAACCGCCCAAGCCUAUGAGAAGAGCAUCUGAAGGAAAGGAACAGGAGCCUGGGCCAGAGGCCAGUGGAAUCAUGGGUACUUUGGUCAGGCGUGAGCUGGAAAGUAUCGUUCUGGAAAAUGCAUCGAAGGAACUGAAGACGAUGAGGGGUGUGGUCUAAAGCCGUCUUUAGAUGGUGCCAUAAAAAUGAACAUUUGCUGAGGUGUAGCUCAGUGUGAGAGGAAUUGUCUCAUAUGAACAAGGCCAUGGGUUGGGUCACUCCCCAGCACCACAGACACAAACGUUCAUGGAGCUGAAUCAAGGCAGCAUGGCAACAUAUUAAAACGGCCUAUCGCUUGCCUAGGAAGUGCAAGGCCCUGGGUUCGGUCCCCAGCUCCGAAAAAAAGAACCAAAAACAAAACAAAACAAAACAAAACAAAACAAAACAAAACAAAACAAAACAAAACAAAACAAAAAAAAGGCCUAUCAUAGCCAGGGUAGGCCAGGGUAGGCCAGGGUAGGCCAGGGUAGGCCAGUAAAACCUUCCAGGAGAAGCACGCUGGGCUGUGGGAGGGGAUUCUCUACCUGGGAGCAUGAGUAAGUCCCUCUUUCCGUGCUGUGCAGGCCUCAGUCUGAGCUUUGCUCUUCCACAAGGUUGCACAAGUGAGGCCUAGAGGGUCACAAUGAGAGCCGUGACCCAUGUGCAGCCUCUGAUCCCGCCAUCACGGCUUUGUCAGUGACCUGAGAACCUCAAGAGCUUGCUCCGUGUGUGCACCUGUGCAUGGUUUCGACAGCUACAGAGGGCUCAUCCCUUUCAAUCUGUCCUUAACUUUUUUUGCUUCAGAACUUUUUGUUGUGCAUGUGGUGACAACAUGUGUUACUUAAUGAGCCAUUUUAAAGUGCACACAGCUAAGGGCAUGUAGUAUGUUCACCAUGGGUGUAGCCAGCAGCACUCUGGUUAUAUAACUUUUUUUUUUUUUGAAACAAAAGACCCAGCAUGAAUGACUUAAGAAGGAUUUAUUUUGGCUCCAGGAUUUGGUGGUUUCAGAUCAUAGUACUUGUCUCUGUUAAUGCUGGACCAUUACAAGACUGAAUAUCAUGUUAGCAAGAGUGUGUGGCAGAGGAGGACCAUCUAGUGAUAGAAAGGAAGAGAGAGAAAUAUCAGAUGGCCUGGACAAGAUACCCCAGGACCUACCUUCAGUGAUGUAUGCCUUCCUACUGGUUCUAGCCCCUACAGUUUCCAUAACCUCUCAAAUAGCACCGCCAAGUAGGGCCAACAUGCAAUAUCAGAGCCUGUGGUUUCAUAUUCAAAUUCCAGGGCUUCCCCUCUCUCCACCCUCUAUUUCCUUAUCCCGUCCUCUCCAGGUUUCUCCUGGCUGCCCUGGCUUCGAGCGUUGGUUUCCCAGCAGGUCCCUUGUCCAGAGAGAAGCUGUGUACCACAGACUCGCUUCUGUCAUCGGUCCAGCACACCUGGGCCUGGCGGUGGGCUGCAGGGCUGUAUUCUGUUCUGGAGGAAACUCAGCAGCAGUCUGCCUGACCUGUCCGGGAGCAGAAGUGGGUACACCACAGUGACAAGUGUCCCACAGAUGAUGUAGACACGACUCAAAGGAGUGCUUGAUACAAUAGCUCCUAAGGUUUUGUGUGUGUGUGCGCAUGCGUGCCCAUGUGCGUGCGAUCAACCCCUGUCUAUUCCGGCACCUGGGGACCUCUGUGACUACAGUUCGUAUUUUUGUGGAGAAAGCCACUGUUUUUGUGGAUUUCUGUCUGCCAGUACUAAGUGCUUUGCACAUGCCUUUUCAUCCAGUCCUCUGGAUGACCUGGGAGGCAGUGACUACCUCUGGGGUCACAACACUAACAGGAGAUGGGGUAUCACAGUGGCCUGACUUGCGGUGGGACUGGAGUUUAGAACUUCUGGUAUCUAGCCCCAUCUUCUCCAUGGUAAAGACCCCAUAUCCAUUCACACAGUAGGCGUGAGAGAUGUGACAUUUCCUCCUGAGGUACAGCAGAUGCUCCAAGGAGGAAGUGAAGAGAAGGUGGAGGAAACAGAACCGUUUUUGAAGGGAGUGCCCACAAUCCAGGAGCAUACUGGUUCUCUGAGGGAGCACAGGAGAGAAAAAAAAAAAAAAAAAACCCUGAAUUCUCUAGAAAUGAUUGUGCGUCAAAGAAAAACAGGUGCUAAAGUCUCCUGAGACCUCAACUGAGGGGCCAGGAAGUCAUGGUCUGCUAGUUUGUGAGUGUGUCUGGGCCUGUGUGGGGCCCAGGCUGGGCUACAUGGUGGGGUUUCUGUCUGCUUAGCAAUAGAUCCAGCCAAGAAAAGGCAUGGUUUUCAGAGGUCCCAUAGGGGCUCUAGUGCACCAGGGUUGAACCAUUUACUUCCUCGGUGGCUUAGAGUCAGACAGAGCCAAAACAAAUGGGCCUGGUUCAAACCAGUUCCUGUCAGCUCCUGGUCACUUCCUCAGUCCUGCAACUACUCUGGCUUGUGGCUGGUGUCUGUUUUGAUUGUUGGGUAUCUAUCUGUGCCUCUAUGUGGGGUGCCUUCGUGGGGGUAGGCAUUGAUGUAGCUGCAGCUGGUAGGAGGGCUUUAUGUGGGGGAAGCCUAGGGAAAUUCCCCGAGAGAGGACCAAUGACCUGAUUUGGGAUCAAGCCCUCUGCCUUCUGUUUCUGACUGUGGCAGGCUGGAAGUGGGGAGGCUUUCAAAGCAGAGAGGCUGUCAUCUUUUGGUGUGUUUCUAAGGAGAAAAUUGGGUUCCCAUGAUACUGUCUAGGCCUGAGGUCUAAACAACAAUAAAUAGAUAUUCAGGACCCAAGGUCUAAAAGUCUACUUAGGGGUGAGGAGAAACCUAGCCAGAGCCUCGCAUGCAAAAGGCAAAGCAAAAGGCUUUCUGUUAGACAGUGAGAUUCCCCUGCCUCCAAUCUGAGGGGAGGUACAUGCCCAAGGGACAUAUCAUAUGUACAGUUCUUCCUUUCCUGGGCUUGAAUUGUAUGGUGGGUCUGUAAAGUGCUUGCUCUACCUGGAGGUAUCCUGGAGCCCUCUUCUGACCAGUUCCUGCCUUCAUCCCAUCCUUCCAUCCACAUGUCCGUCUGUCCAUCUGUAUGUCUAUCUGUCCAUCCAUCUGUCUGUCUGUCCAUCCACCCAUCCCAUCCCUACAGAUAUACAUAUAUCAAUUAUGUAUGUAAACACACAUACACACAUACACACACCCCAUAUAACUUACAGGAGACAAGAUUUAUUUUAGCUCAUGGUUUUGGAGAUCUCAGCCCAUGUUGCUUGGCCCCAUCACUGUGGAUUUGUGGUGAGAUGAGGUAUCGUGGUAGAAAGAAAUAGAUAAGCAGAACAGCUCACCCCGUGGCAGCCAGGGCACACGGAGAGACAGAGGAAGGGCUAGAGACAAAACAUGCCCUUCAAAGGCACGCCCCUAGAGAUCUGCCUCCUUCCAUUAGGUCCUACCCCAGAGAGCUCCCACUCCUCCUAAAAGAGAGCUACCAGUUAGGGAAAAAACCUUCAACACUGAAACCUUUGAGCUUGCUACAUAAUAAAAACAUCAGCUUCACCCAUCCACCUGCCCAGAACGCGUGGUUCUGAGCUAGACUUUGGAAGCCAGAGGUAAUUUAAGAUGUAGCUCCUCUCCUUAGAACCUGAAUGGAAGGCAGAAGGCAGAACACCUGGCUUCAGUGGAGACUCGGGCAAAGCAGAUGGCUACAUGGUCAGCCUGGUGGAGAAGCUGGAGGUUAGUCCUGCUGUGAGGGCUCAGGAGUCCGUACAGAAGUGAUGGACACACACACAUGGUUUGAACAGGGUCUCCAAGGGAGAGCAAGGCAGACAGUAAAGGGGUGGUUGUUUUGAGUAGGAGGUCAGUAUGUGCAAAGGCACUGAGCCACCAUAGCUGAGGGAACAUCUGGAGGGAAGAUCCCACCAGUGAGCAUGAGAAGGAAGGAUGCUGCUGAGAGACAGGUGGUACCUAAGAGAGGCAGCCUUCCAUGUGUACAGUGAGAUGGAGACAUCUCCCACAGCUACUGAGUGUCCAUGAGUGUCUGCCUCGUGGGCCACACAUCCUAGGCCCUGCCAGGCUGUCCCUCUCAGCCACCCAUCUGGUGCUGCCCUCCUUACCUGCCUUCUCCAACAGGGUCAUGUGAUAUUGAUGACUAGGGAGAGAGAAGGGGAUGGCUGCUGGGAGAGACCUGUGAGAGCUGACCCUGGUGGGCGCUGGCCUGGGCCUGGGGAUAAGUGAAAUUCCUGAGCAGACUUGGCUUGCCCAGAAAGGGAUGGGCCUGACUCAUCUCUGUUAUCCUCACAGGGGCACCCCAGACAGGAGCAAGUGAGUCCUUCCAAGCGCAUUCACUGCCCUGACUCCAAAGCCAAGGAGGAAGCCUCCAUUUUGUUUCCCUUGACGGGAAUGGAGUGGGUUUUCUUUCUCCUUCCAGCCUGCCCUGGUGAGCCCUCCUUGUCCCUGCUGCCCAGCUUCUUGGCACCGAGCCCCUGCAUCUUGUUAUCGCAGGCUUUGUGCUGUCUGUCACCUUUUAUUACAAAACCUUCUGAAAUUCUCCGAAUCGUCUCGCCGGUUAUCAUGCUCAACCACAGUGUGCUUGCAGGAGCCUCGGGCUGGAACCACAAGGCAGCCACAGUGCAUCGGGGACUUCUGUUCUGUGCCCAGGCAGGCCCCCUCCUUUCUCCUCCCCACUAGGCAAGUUUUGCCAAGCUUCCUUCUCCCUCCCCCCUCCCCCCUCCCCCCUCCUCUUCUUCUACUUCUUCCUCCCCUACUUCCUCCUCUUCUCCUUUUUUCUUCUCCCCUUUUCCCUUCUCUCCUUCUUUCCCCCUCCUCCUCUCCCCUUCUCCCCCUCCUCCUUCCCCCUUCUCUCCUCUCCUCCCUCCUCCUCCUUGAGUUAGACAGUGAAAGGAUUCAGAACACAUCCCUCUUGCUGGGGGUGGAUCUGCAGAAGCUCUGUGGGAGCUGUGGGGCUUGCAGGGGUGCUGGAGUUCUGAGAGGAGCAGAAAGCUGGGGGAAGGAAGAAGAGCAGUGCCCCAUCUUCAUCCAGGAGCAGGGCAGCAUCUGUGGACAGGGUGACCUUCGACGGGCUCUGCAGCUUCACUUCUGAAAUAUGAGGUGAACUAGAUGGCCCCUGUAGCCCUACCAGUUCUGAUGAUCCACACUGGGCUGCACUGCCAGGCAGGGCCAGCCUGGGCAAGAUUGCUGGAGACAAGCACACAGAAGUCCCAUGUACACAGAAAUGUCCUCACACACACUGAAGAAUAAUCCUAUUUGAAGCAGCCUCACUAUGAUGCUCUUCUUCCAGGGGCCAACUGCCUAGAAUGGAGUUCUGUUUUUGAGAACAGGAACACACAUCCUGGAUGCUGGG